UCUGGAUUUUAUCUCAGCUUGGUUAUAGUUGUGUAUGCUCUUGGAUCUGUAACUCUUAACCUUUGACAUUCUGUUUGUUUGACUGAAUAGACAUUUAUCUUGUCUCUUUGGUCUCUUUUGGCUAAAAAGGGGGAGAAAGUAGCUAAAGUAGCUAUGUUAUACUAUGAUGUUGGAGAUGAUCUGUAUGAUACAGAUGAUGUUGG
rnacentral:lncRNA from 1 species